rnacentral:misc_RNA from 1 species
AAUCUUCAACCUCAAAACCUUUGUGUUUUUGAGGCUUGGUCUUGAGGGUUUUGCAGGCUUUUUUAAAGUCAGCUCCCUUUAAAUUCAUUAGCGAGACUUCCCUUUGUUUGAGCCGGUCUCAUUGGCAUGAUAGUUAUCUGUGUCAACGUCGGUUCUCGUUGGGCUUGCUUCUAAUCGUCUUCGGACAACAGGAUUUUGGGUGCAUAUAUGCGCACAUUUUCCAAGCCU